rnacentral:rRNA from 1 species
CGGGACGGGUGAGUAACGCGUGGAUAACCUGCCUCACACUGGGGGAUAACAGUUAGAAAUGGCUGCUAAUACCGCAUAAGCGCACAGUACCGCAUGGUACGGUGUGAAAAACCCAGGUGGUGUGAGAUGGAUCCGCGUCUGAUUAGCCAGUUGGCGGGGUAACGGCCCACCAAAGCGACGAUCAGUAGGCGACCUGAGAGGGUGACCGGCCACAUUGGGACUGAGACACGGCCCAA